GUGGGGAAUAUUGGACAAUGGGCGGAAGCCUGAUCCAGCAAUACCGCGUGUGUGAAGAAGGCCUUCGGGUUGUAAAGCACUUUUAAUCGGGAGGAACACCUAUUGGUUAAUACCCAAUAGACUGACAUUACCGAUAGAAAAAGCACCGGCUAACUCCGUGCCAGCAGCCGCGGUAAUACGGAGGGUGCGAGCGUUAAUCGGAAUUACUGGGCGUAAAGCGUGCGUAGGCGGCUAUCUAAGUCAGAUGUGAAAGCCCCGGGCUUAACCUGGGAACUGCAUUUGAGACUGGGUGGCUAGAGUUGAGUAGAGGUAAGUGGAAUUUCAGGUGUAGCGGUGAAAUGCGUAGAGAUCUGAAGGAACACCAGUGGCGAAGGCGGCUUACUGGACUCAAACUGACGCUGAGGUACGAAAGCGUGGGUAGCAAACAGGAUUAGAUACCCUUGUAGUCC
rnacentral:rRNA from 1 species